rnacentral:rRNA from 1 species
GUUUACGGGGGGAACGCGAAGAACCUUACCUACUCUUGACAUCCAGAGAACUUUCCAGAGAUGGAAGGGUGCCUUCGGGAACUCUGAGACAGGUGCUGCAUGGCUGUCGUCAGCUCGUGUUGUGAAAUGUUGGGUUAAGUCCCGCAACGAGCGCAACCCUUAUCCUUUGUUGCCAGCGGUUCGGCCGGGAACUCAAAGGAGACUGCCAGUGAUAAACUGGAGGAAGGUGGGGAUGACGUCAAGUCAUCAUGGCCCUUACGAGUAGGGCUACACACGUGCUACAAUGGCGUAUACAAAGAGAAGCGAACUUGCGAGAGUAAGCGGACCUCAUAAAGUACGUCGUAGUCCGGAUUGGAGUCUGCAACUCGACUCCAUGAAGUCGGAAUCGCUAGUAAUCGUAGAUCAGAUGCUGGCUUCCG